rnacentral:rRNA from 1 species
UACAGAGGGUGCAAGCGUUAAUCGGAAUUACUGGGCGUAAAGCGUGCGUAGACGGUUACAUAAGUCGGGUGUGAAAGCCCCGGGCUCAACCUGGGAAUUGCAUUCGAGACUGCAUAGCUAGGAUGCGGAAGAGGGAAGCGGAAUUUCCGGUGUAGCGGUGAAAUGCGUAGAUAUCGGAAGGAACAUCAGUGGCGAAAGCGGCUUCCUGGUCCAGCAUCGACGUUCAGGCACGAAAGCGUGGGGAGCAAACAGG